GACGAACGCUGGCGGCGUGCUUAACACAUGCAAGUCGAACGGAAAGGCCCUGCUUUUGUGGGGUGCUCGAGUGGCGAACGGGUGAGUAACACGUGAGUAACCUGCCCUUGACUUUGGGAUAACUUCAGGAAACUGGGGCUAAUACCGGAUAGGAGCUCCUGCUGCAUGGUGGGGGUUGGAAAGUUUCGGCGGUUGGGGAUGGACUCGCGGCUUAUCAGCUUGUUGGUGGGGUAGUGGCUUACCAAGGCUUUGACGGGUAGCCGGCCUGAGAGGGUGACCGGCCACAUUGGGCCUGAGAUACGGCCCAGACGCCUACGGGAGGCAGCAGUGGGGAAUAUUGCACAAUGGGCGGAAGCCUGAUGCAGCAACGCCGGGUGCGGGAUGACGGCCUUCGGGUUGUAAACCGCUUUCGCCUGUGACGAAGCGUGAGUGACGGUAAUGGGUAAAGAAGCACCGGCUAACUACGUG
rnacentral:rRNA from 1 species